CAAUAGCGUAUAUUUAAGUUGUUGCAGUUAAAAAGCUCGUAGUUGGAUUUCGGUUAAGAGCGACCGGUCCGCCGUUUGGUGUGCACUGGUUGGUUUUAACUUCCUGUAGGGGACGUGCUCUGGGUUUAACGACCUGGACUCGGAGUCUACGUGGUUACUUUGAAAAAAUUAGAGUGUUCAAAGCGGGCUUACGCUUGAAUAUUUCAGCAUGGAAUAACACUAUAGGACUCCUGUCCUAUUUCGUUGGUCUCGGGACGGGAGUAAUGAUUAAGAGGAACAGUUGGGGGCAUUCGUAUUUCAUUGUCAGAGGUGAAAUUCUUGGAUUUAUGAAAGACGAACUUCUGCGAAAGCAUUUGCCAAGGAUGUUUUCAUUA
rnacentral:rRNA from 1 species